rnacentral:rRNA from 1 species
CAAUAGCGUAUAUUUAAGUUGCUGCAGUUGAAAAGCUCGUAGUUGGAUUUCGGGUGGGAAUGGCCGGUCCGCCGUUUCGGUGUGCACUUGCUACGCCCACCUUGCUGCCGGGGACGUGCUCUUGAGUUCACGCUCGGGACACGGAGUCGGCGAGGUUACUUUGAGUAAAUUAGAGUGUUCAAAGCAGGCCUACGCUCUGAAUACAUUAGCAUGGAAUAACACGAUAGGACUCUGGCCUAUCUUGUUGGUCUGUAGGACUGGAGUAAUGAUUAAGAGGGACAGUCGGGGGCAUUCGUAUUUCAUUGUCAGAGGUGAAAUUCUUGGAUUUAUGAAAGACGAACUACUGCGAAAGCAUUUGCCAAGGAUGUUUUCAUUAA